GACGAACGCUGGCGGCGUGCUUAACACAUGCAAGUCGAACGGAAAGGCCCUGCUUUUGUGGGGUGCUCGAGUGGCGAACGGGUGAGUAACACGCGAGUAACCUGCCCUUGACUUUGGGAUAACUUCAGGAAACUGGGGCUAAUACCGGGUAGGAGCUCCUGCUGCAUGGUGGGGGUUGGAAAGUUUCGGCGGUUGGGGAUGGACUCGCGGCUUAUCAGCUUGUUGGUGGGGUAGUGGCUUACCAAGGCUUUGACGGGUAGCCGGCCUGAGAGGGUGACCGGCCACAUUGGGACUGAGAUACGGCCCAGACUCCUACGGGAGGCAGCAGUGGGGAAUAUUGCACGAUGGGCGGAAGCCUGAUGCAGCAACUCCGCGUGCGGGAUGACGGCCUUCGGGUUGUAAACCGCUUUCGCCUGUGACGAAGCGUGAGUGACGGUAAUGGGUAAAGAAGCACCGGCUAACUACGUG
rnacentral:rRNA from 1 species